AACGCACCUUGCACCCCUUGGUAUUCCGAGGGGUACGCCUGUUUGAGUGUCGUGAAAUUCUCAACCCCGCCCCCUUUUGCGAGGGGCGUCGGUGGCUUGGACUUGGAGGCUUUUGCCGGGAAAGGGUUUCGACCCACUUCUCGGCUCCUCUCGAAGGUAUUAGUAGGACCCUUUGCGGCCUCGGUGUGAUAAUUGUCUACGCCGUGGGUUUAGCAUGUCAUGGGACCCGCUUCCAACCGUCUCGCAAGGGACACUUUCAAUCGAAACUUGACCUCAGAUCAGGCGGGACUACCCGCUGAACUUAA
rnacentral:rRNA from 1 species